rnacentral:rRNA from 1 species
CAAGUCGAACGUGAAAGGGGCUUCGGCCCUGAGUAAAGUGGCAAACGGGUGAGUAACGCGUGGGUGAUCUGCCUCUGAGUGGGGGAUAACGUUCCGAAAGGGACGCUAAUACCGCAUGACAUCCUGUUCUUGGAUGAACGGUGAUCGAAGCUGGGGACCGCAAGGCCUGGCGCUUGGAGAGGAGCCCGCGUCCGAUUAGCUAGUUGGUGGGGUAACGGCCUACCAAGGCGACGAUCGGUAGCCGGCCUGAGAGGGCGGACGGCCACACUGGGACUGAGACACGGCCCAGACUCCUACGGGAGGCAGCAGUGGGAAUUGUUCGCAAUGGGCGCAAGCCUGACGACGCAACGCCGCGUGGGGGAUGAAGGUCUUCGGAUUGUAAACCCCUGUUGGGUGGGACGAACACUUCCGUGGUGAACAGCCAUGGAGACUGACGGUACCACCUGAGGAAGCCCCGGCUAACUCUGUGCCAGCAGCCGCGGUAAUACAGAGGGGGCAAGCGUUGUUCGGAAUUACUGGGCGUAAAGGGCGCGUAGGCGGCCUGUUAAGUCAGACGUGAAAUCCCUCGGCUCAACCGGGGAACUGCGUCUGAUACUGGCGGGCUUGAAUUCGGGAGAGGGAUGUGGAAUUCCAGGUGUAGCGGUGAAAUGCGUAGAUAUCUGGAGGAACACCGGUGGCGAAGGCGGCAUCCUGGACCGACAUUGACGCUGAGGCGCGAAAGCCAGGGGAGCAAACGGGAUUAGAUACCCCGGUAGUCCUGGCCCUAAACGAUGAGUGCUUGGUGUGGCGGGUAUCGAUCCCUGCCGUGCCGAAGCUAACGCAUUAAGCACUCCGC